UGAGGGUCCCAGGCCUGGUUUUUAACGUGACUUUUAUUAAAUUCAAAAUGAGGAAUACAAUGGUUUGGUUUUUGUUAAGGGGCAGAAUCUUGCAUAAAAGAACCGGGUAAAAAUAACACCUGUGUCAUUUUUUAGAUCCGUGCAAAUCCGUUGUGUUAUGUUAUUUUGGUCAGGCAUCGACUUAGGCAGCCCCAAUGCGGUGUUAGCUUCGGUCGUGUUAGCUGAAAACGCUGCUUUUAAAGUAGAAUUCCUUCGAGAAGAUGGGUGUUAUUUGCAGAGUUUUUUCUGUUUUACUGGGAAUGGAUGUUGCUUGGGGAUAUGUUAAGUUACUUGGCAUUAUUGUAUUAUUAGCUAAGGGCUAGCUAACUAGCCACUAUGUGGUCUGCUUAGACGAUGUCUGCUUAUUCAAAACCAUUAAUUCAUCCAAACUAUUAAUUCAGACCAUUCAAUCGAUUAUGGACGUUUUAUUCCAACUCCUGUGCUCCCUGCAUGUUAAGCUGAGCUAUUAAAGUUCAUCUCUUAGGCAACAAAUCUGCAUAUAAAGACUCUGAACUGUUCCUGCGUCUCCAUGUCUACUCUCUGACCACACAUUCCCAACGCCAUUGAGUGUUGCAAAUCUGACAGCAUCGUAUGGUGUCCAUCCACUUUUCAAAGACGUAAAGACAAGACCAGAGCUGGUUGCAGCAGGUACGUAAGGAAAACGUACACGUCAGGUGUUGUCUGGGAUCAGGGUUGGUGUCUCCUGCUUUAGGACGUCUGUCCCGGCACAGGGACAUUUUGGUGUUGUCUCACACUUGCGAUUGUCCAGCAGCUGAGGGACAUGUUGAAACUACAGCUAACACCUGCUGAUGAAGGAAUGAUCGCAGAUCAGGGGGAAGAAAUGUGCCAUUUAAAAAAAGAAGACAGAAGAGGUAAAGGGCUGGAUGCUGUUUAUAAUCCACCAAAUCUCUUCUACAGAACAGACAUGCAGCCAUUGUUGGUGAUUAAAGAAGAAACUCUCACUGAACACCAGGA